rnacentral:rRNA from 1 species
CCUACGGGUGGCAGCAGUCGAGAAUCAUUCACAAUGGGGGAAACCCUGAUGGUGCGACGCCGCGUGGGGGAAUGAAGGUCUUCGGAUUGUAAACCCCUGUCAUGUGGGAGCAAAUUAAAAAGAUAGUACCACAAGAGGAAGAGACGACUAACUCUGUGCCAGCAGCCGCGGUAAUACAGAGGUAUCAAGCGUUGUUCGGAAUCACUGGGCGUAAAGGGUGCGUAGGCUGUUUCGUAAGUCGUGUGUGAAAGGCGCGGGCUCAACCCGCGGACGGCACAUGAUACUGCGAGACUAGAGUAAUGGAGGGGGAACCGGAAUUCGCGGUGUAGCAGUGAAAUGCGUAGAUAUCGAGAGGAACACUCGUGGCGAAGGCGGGUUCCUGGACAGUAACUGACGCUGAGGCACGAAGGCCAGGGGAGCGAAAGGGAUUAGAUACCCCAGUAGUC